UACUGGGGUAGCUGUAUUGUCUUUUUGUUCUUUUUAGUUUGUUUGGAUUUUGGAACAGACGUGAGAAUGUUCAUGGUCUAUUGCCAAAUUGAUAUCUAGGCUUUUUUGGCCUUAAAACAUUUAUCUCAUGAAUUUUGAAGUUUAAAGAAANNNNNNUCAAGUGGCAAAAUAUUAUCAUCAAAAAAAAAAAAAAGACAAUACAGCUACCCCAGUA
rnacentral:misc_RNA from 1 species